GAUGAACGCUGGCGGCAUGCCUAACACAUGCAAGUCGAUCGGUAAGGCUCUUCGGAGUACACGUGGGGGGGACGGCUGAGUAACACGUAGGAACACACACCGCAGCGAGGGAUGGGGCACCACAAGGGGUAAUAAUACCUCAUACGGCAUACGAGUUAAAGCAUUUAUGCGCUGAAGGAGUGGCUUGCGUCGUAUUAGAUAGAUGGUGAGGUAAUGGGUCAGCAAGUCGAUGAUGUGUAGCUGGUCUGAGAGGAUGAUCAGCCAGACUGGAACUGAGACACGGAGCAGACUUCUAGGGGAGGACGCAGUGGGGAAUAAUUCACAAUGAGCGAGAGAUUGAUGGAGCAAUGCCGCGUGCAGGAUGAAGGCCCUAGGGUUGUAAACUGCUUUUAUAAGAGCAGAUUAUGACGGUAACUUAUGAAUAAGGGACGGCUAACUACGUG
rnacentral:rRNA from 1 species